UUUCACAAGGUUGACCUCGGAUCAGGUAGGGAUACCCGCUGAACUUAAGCAUAUCAAUAA
rnacentral:rRNA from 2 species